rnacentral:rRNA from 1 species
GACGAACGCUGGCGGUGUGCUUAACACAUGCAAGUCGAACGGUAAGGCCCUUUCGGGGGUACACGAGUGGCGAACGGGUGAGUAACACGUGAGUAACCUGCCCUCAUCUCUGGGAUAACAGUCGGAAACGGUUGCUAAUACUGGAUAUGAGCUUGCAAGGCAUCUUGUGGGUUGGAAAGAUUUUUUUUGGUUGGGGAUGGACUCGCGGCCUAUCAGCUUGUUGGUGAGGUAGUGGCUCACCAAGGCUUCGACGGGUAGCCGGCCUGAGAGGGCGACCGGCCACAUUGGGCGUGGGAUACGGCCCAAACUCCGACGGGGGGAGGCAGGGGGGAAUUUUGAAAAAGGGGAGGAAGUCGAAUGCAACAACGCCGGGGGGGGGAAGACGGCCUUCGGGUUGGAAACCGUUUUCAAUUGGGAAGAAGCUUUUUUGGGAGGGUAGCAGUAAAAGAAGCACCGGUAAACUACGU